CCUACGGGAGGCAGCAGUAGGGAAUUUUCGGCAAUGGGGGGAACUCUGACCGAGCAACGCCGCGUGAACGAAGAAGUUAUUCGUAAUGUAAAGUUCUUUCAACAGGGAAGAAAGUGAAAUUUGACGGUACCUGAAGAAUAAGCUCCGGCUAACUACGUGCCAGCAGCCGCUGUAAUACGGAGGAUGCGAGCGUGAUCCGGAAUUAUUGGGUUUAAAGGGUGCGUAGGCGGAAUGCAAAGUCAGCGGUAAAAUCGCGGGGCUCAACCUCGCUCCGCCGUUGAAACUGGCGUUCUUGAGUGGGCGAGAAGUAUGCGGAAUGCGUGGUGUAGCGGUGAAAUGCAUAGAUAUCACGCAGAACUCCGGUGGCGAAGGCAGCAUGCCGGCGCCCAACUGACGCUGAAGCACGAAAGCGUGGGUAUCGAACAGGAUUAGAUACCCCAGUAGUC
rnacentral:rRNA from 1 species